UAGAUUUUGAUCAUGGCUCAGUGACUGGGGUGAAGUCGUAACAAGGUAACCGUAAGUCGUAACAAGGUAACCGUAGAGUUUGAUCCUGGCUCAGGAAAGUCGUAACAAGGUAGCCGUAGAGUUUGAUCAUGGCUCAGCCUUUGACUUAAAAAAAUGGAGAAGUCGUAACAAGGUAGCCGUAAGUCGUAACAGGGUACCGUAGAGUUUGAUCAUGGCUCAGCCUUUGACUUAAAAAAAUGGAGAAGUCGUAACAAGGUAGCCGA
rnacentral:rRNA from 1 species